rfam:Shewanella putrefaciens CN-32, complete genome.
CAUGUGGUGUCCGACUAAGGGUUGGAAGAGCGACAUGGCCUUACAUUUUGAGGU